rnacentral:rRNA from 1 species
GACGAACGCUGGCGGCGUGCUUAACACAUGCAAGUCGAACGAGUGGCGAACGGGUGAGUAAUGUCUGGGAAACUGCCUGAUGGAGGGGGCUAACUACGGGAAACGGUAGCUAAUACCGCAUACCAUCGGAUGUGCCCAGAUGGGAGUAGCUAGUGGGUGGGGUAACGGCUCACCUAGGCGACGAUCCCUAGCUGGUCUGAGAGGAUGACGAGCGAUACUGGAACUGAGACACGGUCCAGACUCCUACGGGAGGCAGCAGGGGGGAAUAGUGGACAAGGGGCGAAAGCCUGAUGGAGCCAUGCCGCGUGAAUGAAGAAGACCUUCGGGUUGUAAAGUGCUUUGAGCGAGGAGGCGGUACUCGAAGAGAAAGCACCGGCUAACUCCGUGCCAGCAGCCGCGGUAAUAC